UACGGAGGGGGCAAGCGUUGUCCGGACUUACUGGGCGUAAAGGGUGCGUAGGCGGUUUGUCGCGUCGGCCGUGAAAUCUCCACGCUUAACGUGGAGCGUGCGGUCGAUACGGGCAGACUUGAGUUCGGUAGGGGAGACUGGAAUUCCUGGUGUAGCGGUGAAAUGCGCAGAUAUCAGGAGGAACACCGGUGGCGAAGGCGGGUCUCUGGGCCGAUACUGACGCUGAGGAGCGAAAGCGUGGGGAGCGAACAGG
rnacentral:rRNA from 1 species